rnacentral:lncRNA from 1 species
AUAUGUGUUUGAAUCUAUUUCUAGGCUUUCUAUUCUGUUCCACUAAUCAGUAUGUUUGUUUAUAUGCACAGCCGAUAUACAUGCUCAAAUGUCCGUGUUCAUUUCCUAUUGCCCUCAAGAGUGAUAGAUGCAGGAAGCAGAUAAGGAAGGGUCCCUGAAGAAUCUCCGACCCGCCCCACAAGUGUUUAUGUUUCAUGUUUUUGUGCAGACUAAUUUCUACCUUCAGCAAAAUGUCUACCAAAGUCAAGUAAUAGGGCCUGAUCUGAAGCCGCAAUGAGUCUUCAGAUGUCAAAUAUGCCCUGAAUGCUGUGAAUGCAGAAGAUGAAAUAAUUAAUAUCAACUGGGAGAGCCAAGGAGCAAUGGGGAGUUGUGAAAAUAUUUUGUCAUAUAAAUAACAUGAAAAUUCUAAACAAGACAGUGAUGCUAACGAUUAAUUGUCAGAGUCUUUUUAAGAUAAGAGUAUCAGUUUGGGAAUAUAAAGAAGUGUGUUGUUGUCAUAAAAGUGGUGACUAAGAAAGUAAAUUCCGUUACUGAAGAAUGCCCACCAAGAAUAAAGAAUUGGAUGCAAAGCACCUCCAGUGAAAUGCAGAAAUAAAAAGAUAAUUAAGUGUUCAUGAUCACUUUCCUUUGGAAUCAUAGAACUAUGCAACCUUAUUUUUCAACUACAGUGGAUGAAUGACAAACUGAAAUAAAAACCAAUGAUUUAUAUUAAGCCAGGUGGGUAUUUUGUGAUCCUAGUCAUGUAGGAAAACAUUGAUAAACAGUGA